rnacentral:rRNA from 1 species
UACGUAGGAGGCAAGCGUUGUCCGGAAUCACUGGGCGUAAAGCGCACGUAGGUGGCCUGUUAAGUCGGGUGUGAAAUCCCUGGGCUCAACCCAGGAAGUGCACUCGAAACUGGCAGGCUUGAGUACUGAAGAGGGUCGCGGAAUUCCCGGUGUAGAGGUGAAAUUCGUAGAUAUCGGGAGGAACACCAGUGGCGAAGGCGGCGACCUGGGCAGAUACUGACACUGAGGUGCGAAAGCGUGGGGAGCAAACAGG